rnacentral:rRNA from 1 species
AAGGAAUAUUGGUCAAUGGACGAAAGUCUGAACCAGCCAUGCCGCGUGAAGGAUGACGGCCCUCUGGGUUGUAAACUUCUUUUAUCUGGGACGAAAAAAGAUCAUUCUUGAUCCCUUGACGGUACCAGAGGAAUAAGCACCGGCUAACUCCGUGCCAGCAGCCGCGGUAAUACGGAGGGUGCAAGCGUUAUCCGGAUUUACUGGGUUUAAAGGGUGCGUAGGCGGGUUAGUAAGUCAGUGGUGAAAUCUUCGAGCUUAACUCGGAAACUGCCGUUGAUACUAUUAAUCUUGAAUAUUCUGGAGGUGAGCGGAAUAUGUCAUGUAGCGGUGAAAUGCUUAGAUAUGACAUAGAACACCGAUUGCGAAGGCAGCUCACUACGGAAUGAUUGACACUGAGGCACGAAAGCGUGGGGAUCAAAC